UUGAUGUUGAGAAGAAGGGCUGCACAUCAGAGAGGCUGUUUAGUUUUUCAUUCUACUGCAGUGGAAGAACAUUGUUCAUCUGCUGUCUGUUUGGCUUUAACAACUCCAAAGACAUGUUGCUUUACCUGUUUUUACUUUUCUCUCCCUUUAUAGCCCUGGGUUCCAUGAACAGCAUAAAGCCAGAAAGUACUGAAGAACAUGUUGCAGAGGGCAGAAACAUCAACCUGACCUGUACAUAUGAGGGUACUAUCUACAGUAUUCAGUGGUACCGACAAUACCAGAGAUCCAGACCAGAGUUUCUGCUCUCCAUCACAGAGGAUGGAUCAUUUUAUCCAACUGGUUCUGAUUUCUCAGCUCACAUUGACAAGAAAGGGAAACGUGUUGAUCUGGAGAUCUCCUCAGCUAAGGUGUCUGACUCUGCUGUGUACUACUGUGCUCUGAGGCCCACAGUGACAGGAAACACCAAAACUCUGUACAAAAACCUUUGGAGAAAAGACAACACAAUACUCCACAACAUCCACCAGAGGGAGUCACACUCUGUUAAACUUCAAUAUGAUGUAGUCUAGAAUCACUUUACCAUAAAAGUGUAACUAGGAGAAGUGAAAAUACAGAGCUACGAGGAGACAGAGAGACUCAGGGA